GACGAACGCUGGCGGCGUGCUUAACACAUGCAAGUCGAACGGAAAGGCCCUGCUUUUGUGGGGUGCUCGAGUGGCGAACGGGUGAGUAACACGUGAGUAACCUGCCCUUGACUUUGGGAUAACUUCAGGAAACUGGGGCUAAUAACGGAUAGGAGCUCCUGCUGCAUGGUGGGGGGUGGAAAGUUUCGGCGGUUGGGGAUGGACUCGCAGCUUAUCAGCUUGUUGGUGGGGUAGUGGCUUACCAAGGCUUUGACGGGUAGCCGGCCUGAGAGGGUGACCGGCCACAUUGGGACUGAGAUACGGCCCAGACUCCUACGGGAGGCAGCAGUGGGGAAUAUUGCACAAUGGGCGGAAGCCUGAUGCAGCAACGCCGCGUGCGGGAUGACGGCCUUCGGGUUGUAAACCGCUUUCGCCUGUGACGAAGCGUGAGUGACGGUAAUGGGUAAAGAAGCACCGGCUAACUACGUG
rnacentral:rRNA from 1 species